rnacentral:rRNA from 1 species
AGCACGGCCCUUACGUCCGGGGCGACACACGUGUUACAAUGGUAGGUACAGAGGGCAGCUACCCAGUGAUGGGGUGCGAAUCUCAAAAACCUAUCUCAGUUCGGAUUGGAGUCUGCAACUCGACUCCAUGAAGUUGGAUUCGCUAGUAAUCGCGCAUCAGCCAUGGCGCGGUGAAUACGUUCCCGGGCCUU